AUGCGAGUCGCAGAGAGCACGGCCGCCGGGGACACACCAGGCCCGGGUACCUGUGCCAGCCUUGAACUUCAGCAGAAGUCAAUGGGUCAUCAGCUGCAUAAGCUCAGCUGGAUUGGGGCACUGGGCCAGGUGCCGGCAACUACAACGGUGCUGCCAUGCACCGUAAACAGGUAUCUGCUGCUCAUGAUCCAGGAGCACCUGGAGUUGCACCUGCUAAAUCCUGAAUUUUCGCCAGCAGUCAAGAAACCUGGAAAGUCGCCAUUUUAAAUUCUUAGCAUUCCCUCUCAAGAUAUUGCAAGAAAUUUAAUGGAAUGGAGAGUCUAUGUGUGACCUAUGGAAUCAUGGACAAUCUCCCGAGGAGCGGUACAGUUCUCUUAAAAAUUACCCUCUGGAGAAGAUGGUUCAAUUUCUACGUUCAGACUCUACAUAUAAAAUAAAGAUUCACACUUUUAAUAAAACACUGACACAAGAAGGGAAAAAUUAAGAGAACAGAUGCACUUGAAUGUCUGCCAUUUGAAGAAAAAGUGAACCUAAAGAAACCACAACAUAUAUUAUUAUGGUUUGGACCCAAACUGCCUUCCUGAGAAGCCACGUAAUAUUUAUUUUGGUAGAUGGAUUUCAGAUGGAUGGAGGGCACUUAUUAAAUCAUACAGUGUCAAAAAGAGGCACUUUGUUGGAAAUACAAGCAUGGAUGCUGGUUUGUCAUUCAUCAUGGCUAACCAUGGAAAGGGAAAGAAAAUGAUAUUGUCUUUGAUCCAUUUGUUGAAACAGCAGUGGACUUUCUUCUAGGUGGCCUCCUGAUAGCAUCUGCUCAUUUUGGUGCAUAUGUUUAUGGGACAGACAUAGACCACAACACAGUUCGUGGCUUGGGAACGGCCAGUAGGAAAAAACAGCUAUGGAGAGGACCAGAUGAAAACAUUAGGGCCAAUCUUCGUCAAUAUGGUUUAGAGAAGUAUUACCAUGAUGUCCUGGUUUCAGAUGCAUCUAAAUCUUUCUGGAGAAAAGGUACACAUUUUGGUGUAAUCAUUACUGAUCCUCCAUAUGGUAUCAGAGAAUCUACGAGAAGAACAGGUUCACCAAAGGCAAUACCAACGGAGAUAGAAAAAUGUCCAGAAGGCCACAUUCCUGUUUCCUUGAGUUAUCAUCGGAGUGAUAUGUUUUUUGACUUGUUAAACUUCUCAGCUGAGACCCUUGUGUUAGGUGAAAUACUAGUCUAUUGGUUACUAGUGUAUACACCAGAAUACACUGAAGAGAUGGUGCCCUGGCAUCCUUGCCUGAAACUCGUUAGUAACUGCGAGCAGAAAUUUUCCAGUCACACAUCAAGGUGUUUGAUCACAAUGGAAAUGGUGAAGAAAUUUGAGAACCAGGACAGGUAUUCAUAUCUACAAAGUGAUCAUUUUUUUGCCAUACCAAGGUCACAAUUCCUUCCGUGAGAAAUAUUUUAGUGGGGUAACGGAAAAAAUUGCCAAGGAAGAACAAUCCAGCCAGGAAUGA